rnacentral:lncRNA from 1 species
UUAGGGGAGGAGUUUACAUACUUCCUUCAGCUAAAGCUCUAAACUCAUGCUACAAGGACAUACACGCACACACACACACACACACACACACACACACACACACACACCCCUUGCCCUACAGGAGCAUUACAGACUAUGAUGGUUAGUUUUAGUCAGUUUGAAAGGAACUUUUUGCCAAAUCCACAGAGCACAUACUGACAGAUCUAUGAGGAACGAACAUACUGCCGGGAGUCAGCAGGAUAGAGGUUGGUCCCACCCUGGCUUUCAUAGAUUUUUGCCAUGAGAAGAAAGAGUAAAUUUCACAGGGAGACAUCACAGUGUUUCUGUCAGUCAUGGGUAAUAGAUUUACCCAAGAAGCGAUAUCACCCGCUGAGUUUGAUGCCUUAUGGAAUGACCCUCCAUACGCUUUAGCAGCCGUCAGUGAGCUCUUUUCGCCCAAUGACGCCAUGACAGCUGGUAAGAGGAUUUCUUGAGUCAAGCA